rnacentral:lncRNA from 1 species
AGGGGGUGGCGUACCAUUUGCAGUGUUUGCAGCUUGUGGGAUAGCUGGUGGGUUACUUGUAAUGUACCUGCCUGAGACCUUAAAUAGGCCAUUAUAUGAUACAAUGGCUGGAAUGGAAGAAGCAGAGGCAGAAAAACCAUGUAUUCUUGCUGGUAAUUUACCUGCCUGAGACCUUAAAUAGGCCAUUAUAUGAUACAAUGGCUGGAAUGGAAGAAGCAGAGGCAGAAAAACCAUGUAUUCUUGCUUAAUUUUGCUACCUUUUUCUUGUUAAAAUCGUAUUUUUAGUUUGUGACUAUUUGUACUUUAUUAUGGGAGAACUAUUUUUGGAUUGUACGUAGAUUUACUAUUAUACCUCUUAAAUUUGGUAUUCGUAAUAUGGAAGCUCAAAAUUAUGCUCUACGCUGUUGAUAGUAGGAG